GUCUAGAGGCUUCGACAAUGCCCGAAAGCCUGACCCAGCAACGCCGCGUGAAGGAAGAAGGUCUUCGGAUCGUAAACUUCUAUCCUUGGUGAAGAUAAUGACGGUAGCCGAGAAGGAAGCCCCGGCUAACUACGUGCCAGCAGCCGCGGUAAUACGUAGGGGGCAAGCGUUGUCCGGAAUGAUUGGGCGUAAAGGGCGCGUAGGCGGCCUGGUAAGUCUGGAGUGAAAGUCCUGCUUUUAAGGUGGGAAUUGCUUUGGAUACUGUCGGGCUUGAGUGCAGGAGAGGUAAGUGGAAUUCCCGGUGUAGCGGUGAAAUGCGAAGAGAUCGGGAGGAACACCAGUGGCGAAGGCGACUUACUGGACUGUAACUGACGCUGAGGCGCGAAAGUGUGGGGAGCAAACAGGAUUAGAAACCCUAGUAGUCC
rnacentral:rRNA from 1 species